rnacentral:lncRNA from 1 species
UGCUUUACGGAAUUGAACCAUGUAUCAUUCAAUUCAUGCUCCAUUUACCGUAACUUUUGAUGGCUAUUGGCAUUCUGACUUGUAAUUCCAUCUUGGCAGGUUUGAUGGCUGGCUGCAUCUGAGAGGCUUUGGCUAGGUUGGUAAUGCUGCAGUUAUGUAUUACUGGAAAUGUAUGGUUAGUGAAAUUGGUGUAUGUUGGCAUUGUAUUGGGAUAAUGUUUGUAAUGUUGCAGGGUUGUUUUGAGAUGCAUGCCAGGCUGUUAUGGUUUUUGUCAUCAAGAGGAAUGGACUUGAGCCAAACAGGGAAACCUCCAAAGUUCCAUUCAGCACAAGCAUAAGGACCAAUUCUGAGGUGAACAUAAAGACCUGCUUGCUGCACCAGCUUUAUGAACUUUACCAAAUCAUGGUUCCCCUCAAAAUAAUAUUUGCCAGGUGAAGGUUCAUGCCCAUUCCAAAAAACAUAAGUUUGAAUCACAUCCAAUCCUCCN